rnacentral:rRNA from 1 species
UUAGUAGCGAACGGGUGAGUAACACGUAUCCAACCUACCUUUAAGUUGGGGAUAACUAGUGGAAACACUAGCUAAUACCGAAUAUCAUAAUUUUUCGCAUGAAUUAUUAUUGAAAGGGGCCUUCAAGCCCCGCUUUUAGAUGGGGGUGCGGCGUAUUAGUUUGUUGGUAGGGUAAUGGCCUACCAAGACGAUGAUACGUAGCUAGACUGAGAGGUUGAAUAGCCACAUUGGGACUGAGACACGGCCCAAACUCCUACGGGAGGCAGCAGUAGGGAAUUUUUCACAAUGGGCGCAAGCCUGAUGGAGCAAUGCCGCGUGUACGAUGAAGGCCUUAUGGGUUGUAAAGUACUGUUGUAGAGGAGGAAUAUGUUGGAUAGGAAAUGAUCCAAUCUUGACUUUACUCUACCAGAAAGCCACGGCUAACUAUGUGCCAGCAGCCGCGGUAAUACAUAGGUAGCAAGCGUUAUCCGGAUUUACUGGGCGUAAAGGGUGCGUAGACGGUUUAAUAAGUCUAAGGUUAAAGGCAUGAGCUCAACUCAUGUUCGCCUUGGAAACUAUUUUACUAGAGUGUGAUAGAGGAAAAUGGAAUUUCAUGUGUAGCGGUGGAAUGCGUAGAUAUAUGAAGGAACGCCA